rnacentral:rRNA from 1 species
GACGAACGCUGGCGGCGUGCUUAACACAUGCAAGUCGAACGGAAAGGCCCUGCUUUUGUGGGGUGCUCGAGUGGCGAACGGGUGAGUAACACGUGAGUAACCUGCCCUUGACUUUGGGAUAACUUCAGGAAACUGGGGCUAAUACCGGAUAGGAGCUCCUGCUGCAUGGUGGGGGUUGGAAAGUUUCGGCGGUUGGGGAUGGACUCGCGGCUUAUCAGCUUGUUGGUGAGGUAGUGGCUUACCAAGGCUUUGACGGGUAGCCGGCCUGAGAGGGUGAACGGCCACAUUGGGACUGAGAUACGGCCCAGACUCCUACGUGAGGCAGCAGUGGGGAAUAUUGCACAAUGGGCGGAAGCCUGAUGCAGCAACGCCGCGUGCGGGAUGACGGCCUUCGGGUUGUAAACCGCUUUCGCCUGUGACGAAGCGUGAGUGACGGUAAUGGGUAAAGAAGCACCGGCUAACUACGUG